GACGAACGCUGGCGGCGUGCCUAAUACAUGCAAGUUGAGCGCUGAAGGUUGGUACUUGUACCAACUGGAUGAGCAGCGAACGGGUGAGUAACGCGUGGGGAAUCUGCCUUUGAGCGGGGGACAACAUUUGGAAACGAAUGCUAAUACCGCAUAAAAACUUUAAACACAAGUUUUAAGUUUGAAAGAUGCAAUUACAUCACUCAAAGAUGAUCCCGCGUUGUAUUAGCUAGUUGGUGAGGUAAAGGCUCACCAAGGCGAUGAUACAUAGCCGACCUGAGAGGGUGAUCGGCCACAUUGGGACUGAGACACGGCCCAAACUCCUACGGGAGGCAGCAGUAGGGAAUCUUCGGCAAUGGACGAAAGUCUGACCGAGCAACGCCGCGUGAGUGAAGAAGGUUUUCGGAUCAUAAAACUCUGUUGGUAGAGAAGAACGUUGGUGAGAGUGGAAAGCUCAUCAAGUGACGGUAACUACCCAGAAAGGGACGGCUAACUACGUG
rnacentral:rRNA from 1 species